CACGUAGGGCACAAGCGUUUGUCCGGAAUUAUUGGGCGUAAAGGGCUCGUAGGCGGUCUGUCACGUCGAAAGUGAAAACUCAGGGCUCAACCCUGAGCCUGCUUCCGAUACGGGCAGACUAGAGGUAUGCAGGGGAGAAUGGAAUUCCUGGUGUAGCGGUGAAAUGCGCAGAUAUCAGGAGGAACACCGGUGGCGAAGGCGGGUCUCUGGGCCGAUACUGACGCUGAGGAGCGAAAGCGUGGGGAGCGAACAGG
rnacentral:rRNA from 1 species